AACACAUGCAAGUCGAGGGGCAGCAUGAAGUUUGCUUGCAAACUUUGAUGGCGACCGGCGCACGGGUGAGUAACGCGUAUCCAACCUUCCCUAUAGUAGAGAAUAGCCCGGCGAAAGUCGGAUUAAUGCUCUAUGUUAUUCAAAGCGGACAUCUAAUUUGAAUCAAAGGUUCACCGCUAUAGGAUGGGGAUGCGUCUGAUUAGCUUGAUGGCGGGGUAACGGCCCACCAUGGCGACGAUCAGUAGGGGUUCUGAGAGGAAGGUCCCCCACAUUGGAACUGAUACACGGUCCAAACUCCUACGGGAGGCAGCAGUGAGGAAUAUUGGUCAAUGGGCGAGAGCCUGAACCAGCCAAGUAGCGUGCAGGAUGACGGCCCUAUGGGUUGUAAACUGCUUUUAUGCGGGGAUAAAGUCGGCUACGCGUAGCCGUUUGUAGGUACCGCAUGAAUAAGGACCGGCUAAUUCCGUGCCAGCAGCCGCGGUAAUACGGAAGGUCCGGGCGUUAUCCGGAUUUAUUGGGUUUAAAGGGAGCGCAGGCCGGAGGUCAAGCGUGACGUGAAAUGUAGGGGCUCAACCUUUGAAUUGCGUCGCGAACUGGUUUCCUUGAGUGAGUACGACGUCAGCGGAAUUCGUGGUGUAGCGGUGAAAUGCUUAGAUAUCACGAAGAACCCCGAUUGCGAAGGCAGCUGACGAGUCCUUUACUGACGCUAAAGCUCGAAGGUGCGGGUAUCGAACAGGAUUAGAUACCCUGGUAGUCCGCACGGUAAACGAUGGAUGCCCGCUGUUUGCGAUAUAUUGUAAGCGGCCAAGCGAAAGCGUUAAGCAUCCCACCUGGGGAGUACGCCGGCAACGGUGAAACUCAAAGGAAUUGACGGGGGCCCGCACAAGCGGAGGAACAUGUGGUUUAAUUCGAUGAUACGCGAGGAACCUUACCCGGGCUUGAACUGCAGGAGAACGAUCCAGAGAUGGUGAGGCCCUUCGGGGCUCCUGUGGAGGUGCUGCAUGGUUGUCGUCAGCUCGUGCCGUGAGGUGUCGGCUUAAGUGCCAUAACGAGCGCAACCCCUUUCGCCAGUUGCCAUCAGGUGAUGCUGGGCACUC
rnacentral:rRNA from 1 species